AUCGCUUUUCGGCCUUUUGGCUCAGAUCAAGUGUAGUAUCUGUUCUUAUCAGUUUAAUAUUUGAUACGUCCCCCAUCGGGGGACUACAUAUUAAAUGGAUUUUUUGAACAGGGAGUUGGAAAUGGGGCUUGUUCCGUCCGCUCCACGCAUCGACCCGGUAUUGCAGUACCUCCGGGAAUGGUGCAACACUU
rnacentral:snRNA from 8 species